CGCACCUUGCGCUCCUUGGUAUUCCGAGGAGCAUGCCCGUUUGAGUGUCGUGAAACCAUCAACCCUCUCGAGGUUUUUCUAACCUCGAAGAGAGGCUUGGAGUUGAGGGGCUUUGCUCUGUCGGUCUUCUGAGAUCGGCUCCCUCGAAAGACAUUGGCUUGUUGAUCCCCUCCGGAUGCGGCGCGGCGUGAUAGGCAAUAUCUACGUCUCGAGCCGUUGAAAGGGGCUUGUGAACCGAGCUUCAAUCUUAACUUUACUUUCUCUUUGACCUCAAAUCGGGUAGGACUACCCGCUGAACUUAA
rnacentral:misc_RNA from 1 species